GGACAAAUUUUUUUGCUCGAUUUGGGUGAAGGCGACUUUGUCCACAAACCAACCGGGUUUGUUACCUUUGCCAUUAGACUCGAGCAACAUCCUGCAAGGUUUGGACGGUAAGCACUUACCGCUGCCUUCAAAUUUGUCGGUGUGGCCUUUCUCGAAGUUGUUGUGGCCCUUCUGGCCCCAAGGUUUCAGGCUCUCGAUAACCAGCUUCUUGCCAUUUGCGGUGCUCACUGACAGAGAUACACGAGCAUCGGUGCCCGCAUCUUCUCUAUCUCCUGUCGUGACCAAUAUAAUGAAUUUGCACUGUGCAUAGGCACUAGUUACAGUGAGAGCGAGGAGAAAUAGGGUGAACAAAAUCUUCAUUCUGGCCAGUGCGUGUAGGAUGGCGCUAGUAGUAGUACCAAGGAUGGUGUGAUGAAGAUGAGCACAAAUGCGAGGUCUAUUUAUAGCUGUACGUAAUGAGGUCUGUGCAGGUAUUGUAUGUGCCAAGUGAAAGAGCGGGAUGAUCAGAGCGAGCUGAGGAUGGCGUGGUCAGCAGAUUAUUUGUCAAACAAAAUACAUGUACGUGCCAAGUGAAAGAGCGGGACGAUCAGAGCGAGCUGAGGAUGGCGUGGUCAACAGAUUACUUGUCAAACAAGAUAUGGGUCUUCCAGCAUUUGCGUGGUCAUUGCAACCGUGGUGCAAUCAGAUAACUCAAAGCGAGCUGAGGGUGGCGUGGUCAGCAGAUUAAUUGUCAAACAAAAUACAAGUCUUCCAGCAUUUGCGUGGUCAUGUGCGUGUGAGCGCUGCACAUGCAUCAGGAUGGAGUAACAUUGUUUGCUCCGUUGAUUAUUAAUUGUUGCUUGCUUGCUUUGGUUCAUGCCUGAUUGAAUGUACUAAAUGACGCGUGUCCAAUAGGAUAUGAUCACAGUUUAGGACACGCAAGCUGUCAAGAUUGAAUGUACUAAAAUGAUGCGUAGUAUAAGAUCACUUGGGCCUCCUGCAAGACUCCCGAUUCCUAGAGAUAUGGACUACCCGAUUAUCCAAGUAAACUAACCUUGGUAAAGUCCGUUGCUCAAGCUUUACCCACAUAUACCAUGAGUAUUUUCAAGAUGAGUGCAAGUUUUUGUGAAAAAUAUGAAAAGUUGGUGAGAUACUUCUGGCGGGGAGACGAGAAGAACAAAAGAAAGGUACAUUAAAUGUCUUGGGAAAAAAUGACAAAGCCGAAAUGUGAGGGUGGUCUGGGCUUUCGUGAUAUGCGUAUCUUCAAUCAAGCUCUUCUUGCUAACCAAGCAUGGAGACUCGUUCAAAGACCGAAUAGCUUAUGUGCCAGAGUGUUGAAGGCUAAAUACUACCCAAAAGGAAAAAAUUUAGAUACGGUUUUCACGGCUGAUGCUUCACCGGUAUGGAGAGGAAUUGAAUAUGGGCUUGAACUCCUAAAACAGGGCAUGGUUUGGAGGGUAGGUGAUGGAAAGAGUAUCCAAAUAAUGCGGGAUAACUGGAUUCCUCGUCAUUCGGGCCUCUCCAUCCAAACCAUGAAGUGUAGGAGCAGACUCAGAUGGGUCCAUCAAUUAAUUGAUCCUCAACCUAAGGAAUGGAACAAGCAAAUCAUUGACAAUUUGUUCUACAGUUUUGAUGCUGAGGAGAUUUACAAAAUCAGACUUCCCGCUAUUCCUAUGGAAGAUACUCUCGCAUGGAACUAUGAAAAAAUGGUAUGUUCUCGGUAAGAAGUGCCUACAAGCUGGGUAAGUCUUUGCAGGAUGGACCGGGUGCAAGUUCCUCGACAAACUAUGGUAAUGGCAGGGAAAGCUUAUGGAAUUUAGUGUGGAAAGCUAAAGUUCCUCACAAAAUUCAUAUUUUCGCUUGGAGAACUGCCACUGACUCUGCCACAAAGGAGAAUAAGCACAAAAGGACACUUGAAUUGGAUGGAAUCUGCAAGGUCUGUGGAAACGCAACUGAAAAUGCAUUCCAUGCUACAGUGGCCUGCACAAAGCAAAGAGCACUCAGAGAGGAAAUGAGGAAAUACUGGAAUCUGCCGGAUGAAAAAUCUCUUAUGGCCUUUUCCCCCGAGUGGCUGUUACAAAACUUAAGUUUGUGCUCGGGAGAUAUGACAGAAAAAUUUCUACUAGUUCUGUGGAGAUCUUGGCAUAUAAGGGAUGACGCCAUUCACAGUAAAGGAGAAGCUUCUAUCAGAGAUUCGAUGUUGUUCCUAAAGUCCUACUGGGAGUGCUUGAACUCUAAAAUCCCUGCUGUAAAUGAUAGUAAAGGUAAACAGAAACUGCAUGAAGUUUCAGUGCCAGCUCCUAGUAUCCCUCAAACUGACACUGGCUGGACAAAACCUCCUGAGAAGUACAUUAAAAUCAACGUUGAUGCGUCCUUCAUACCGUCCUUGGGUUUAACUGAUGUGGGUGCCAUUGGUAGAGACAGUUUGGGUGCUGUGUUAUUCUCGGCAGGCUGUCGUUUUCAGGGUUGCACGGAUGCGGAGGAAUCUAAAACUUGGGCGCUGUCCUUUGGACUAAGACAAGCUAGCAAUUUGUCACUAAACCGUAUUCUGGUGGAAUCUGACUGCACUGCCGUGGUGUCUGCAAUAUCCGACUGCAACAUUACCAGAACCAGGUGGUGGGCAAGCUAUGAGGAGUCAAAGAGAUUGAUGAGAGGUUUUGAGUCUUGUAAUGUGACCAAAACUUAUAGGGAGUGCAAUGUGGCCGCACAUGAGUUAGCUACGUACGCUAGAAUCCAUGGUGAUUUCCUUUUCUUAGCUGAUGUGCCACAUAGUGUGAAACAUGUAAUCAUGUCCGACUGUAUUCCUGGAUAAAUGUAAUGCAAGGCUCCCUUUAUCCUAAUAAAAACAAUUUGACACACGGGACAUCCAUCUCAUUAGUUAAGUGAUAAUGCACUUAAUUAGCGGCACGCCACGCUGCUCCGCCGGUCCAAGAACUUGCUGAGUAUUUUUUUUAAAGGAGGUUAAACCCCGGCGUCUGUAUCAAUUGAUGCAUACAAUCAUCUUUAUUAAUUAUUCCACGAAGGUCUGACAAAACAAUAUAUCAAAACACCCGAAUCCACCACUCACACCUACAAACCUGAUAAUGCAGAGUGCUCUCACUCCCCAUAUCUAUAACCGAUGUCGUCGCCGAUCCAUCCAUAUAACGUAUCGGAAUCAACAACCGGUGUGGAAAACCUAAAGCGUACAACACAUGCACACGUUUUAGAAGCCGCCAUCAUCAUCGAACCACUGUCUCAUCUUCAGAAGAGAGAUCCGCAUCAUCCUUGCUAGUCCGACCAACCGUCGACGCCACCACAGCGGCCAACAAUGCCACCGCCCUGCGCUCGUCCAUCUCGACUCGGAGACUCUGGAAGAUCUGUCGUGCGUAGCACCUGCCGACCAGACAUGACAAAGCUAGCACCUGUCGGCCAGGCAUGUCCACCGAAGCUCCGUGCAAGAUGAAUCCGCUCCGCCUCCUGCCUCUGCCUUCUAGCGCUGCUCCACAAACGAUACUCCCAAGAGAGAAACGACACAGUAGUGCUGCCAUCGUCGGAUCUGGAACACCAGAUUCUAGGGUUUCCCCUGGAGCAGCACGAGUGGGUUGACAGUAGUUACUCGAUGAUGCCUUCAUCAAGGUAACGGCUCAAAACGCCGCCAUUGCCUACCGUUAGAUCGGUUUUAACCGGCAACCAUGUCUCCCCGACUCGUAGCCGGGACUAGAUGACGGAUCUCGAGAUCCGACCACCCUCAGGCCGACCACCACUCACGGAGGAAAUGACCACCACCUUCUUAUGACGUCAGCCACAAUGCGCACUGCAUGCAUAUGCUCUAGGAUCCACCACUACCAUCUUCCGUUGUCCCAUCUUCAGGAGGGAUCAUUGCAUAGACCUGCUAGGCCCAUCUGUCGUUGACGUCACCACGACACCAGACAACGCCACCAACCCACGCGAGUCCAUAAAACCGUGUCCAACAUCGAGACUCCAUUGCUCCACGCCGCCGACACCCCCCGUCCUCAAUGCGGUAGUUGCAACAUUGCUCCACCUGUUGGCACCUCCAUUGAACCUCUGCUAAAAAACAAUGCCCUCAAGUAGGAAAACGAGACCAUAGUCUUUGUCACCAUCCGAUGCGGAAAACCCAGAUCUAGAGUUUCCCCAAGGACAGAUGCCCCCUGGAGAAGAGGGGCACUCCAUCUGCACAUAAGAACGAAUCCAAAUGGUGCCCACCAGUACAAAGCUCCCAUGGCAGCGCCUUUAGGAAGGACACGACGCUUUGAGCUCCGUCACUGCCCACCGCGGUUAGGGUUUUCACCUGCGAAGCAGUAAGGUGGGAAGAGGUAGAGCAGACCCGAACGACGUCUCGAAGCAAUAAUAUCGGCACCCGCAUGCAUCCUCGUCAUGGCUGGCUGGAACAUACCAUAAAAUUACCCCGAUCUGGAUCCCCACCUCGCACUCCGCCCACAAACCGGUGAUCGUCUACCUAGCCAGCACGGCCAAGUCCGGUGAGAUUGGAGCGGACCUAGACGGGACAGUAGGCAGUGGACGCCGCCGUCAGCCCCCGGGGCAUCGCUGCCAUGUCCUGAACCCGCCGAUGGUCCUCCGGCUGCCCAAGCCGACCUCCGGUAGCCCGCUAGCCCUGCCGUACCACUGGAUGGGGAAGCCUCACCAAAAGGACCGCUGUCCCUGGUCCAUUGAUCGCAUCCGGAGAAGGGGCCCGUCGCUGCCUUGUUUAGAGCCAUCCGGACUUUGCCGGAGAGCGCCUCAGGCGGCGACGAGGGAAGGAAGGUGCGGCUAGGGAGAAAUGGGGCGUCGUGUGAGGUGGCGGCGGCGCUAGAUCGCGAGUCACGAGUGCUCUUCUGGUCGCGAGUCGCUAGCCUCCCGAUCCAUUUUUGAGGUGGUCAGGGAGAAAGACGUUGGUGCUGGGACAUUCAGGAGUGUGGGGAGGUUUGUGGAGGAGUAUAAGCGGGGUAAGCUACAUCCUGGUGAUGUGAAGCUUGCACUUGCAAUGACGAUUAAUAAGAUGUUGAAGCCUGUCCGUGGUGCUGGUCACUUUGGAAGCGACGCGGGCUUAUGCACAAGGUUUGUGGAGAGCGUGUGUGUGGAUUCUGAGCCCUUCGUAGUUUCUUGUGUUAAUCGUUUAUAUGAUCGAAAUUCCAUGUCCGAAUGAACGCAUUUGGGACUUAUGUGGAACAAUUAUAUAUAUGUAGUCCACGUCUAAUAGCUGCAUCCACACCGAUUUAAGAGAAUGUUGUCUCUAGUAGCUGCAUCCAAACUGAUUAAGAGAAAAUUACCUCUAAUAACUUUCCCUGUCUAUCGUGCCUAGACAUGGUCGUUUUUUUCACACUAUUUGCUCAUUGUCGUUGUUUCCUUAAAGUAGCUUCGCAGAGAAUACUUCUAAAGUCUCGCAGCCACCCACGAGGAAGGUACCUAGUUAAAGAUGAAACCCAAUGACACCAACACUGGAAGCCAAAGAUGAACGAACAACAGUGAUGUUGUUUUAUUAAAGUACAAUACAUAGUUUAAGCAUAAUAACAUACAUGGGAUAAUACAUACUUUAUUUAAUUCCGCAAACAUCACGGCCAGGGUACCGUUCACGCAUGUAAGAUGAUGUAUUCAUAACUACCAUGGACAUGGGUGGUUACUUGGCACAGUCAUCCACAACCACAAAGAGUGUACCCGGUGACUCAUCGCGUGCAAGCCACCUAUUCACGUUGAAUGUCUUCUCCUUCUGGGACAAAUUUUUUUGCUCGAUUUGGGUGAAGGCGACUUUGUCCACAAACCAACCGGGUUUGUUACCUUUGCCAUUAGACUCGAGCAACAUCCUGCAAGGUUUGGACGGUAAGCACUUACCGCUGCCUUCAAAUUUGUCGGUGUGGCCUUUCUCGAAGUUGUUGUGGCCCUUCUGGCCCCAAGGUUUCAGGCUCUUGAUAACUAGCUUCUUGCCAUUUGCGGUGCUCACUGACAGAGAUACACGAGCAUCGGUGCCCGCAUCUUCUCUAUCUCCUGUCGUGAC
rnacentral:lncRNA from 1 species